GGUGGCUCAGUGGUAGAGCACUUGACUUUGCAUGCAUGAGGCCCUGAGUUCGAUCUCUCAGCACCA
rnacentral:tRNA from 1 species